rnacentral:rRNA from 1 species
UUUGGAGGGGCAAGUCUGGUGCCAGCAGCCGCGGUAAUUCCAGCUCCAAUAGCGUAUAUUAAAGUUGUUGUGGUUAAAAAGCUCGUAGUUGAACCUUGGGCCUGGCUGGCCGGUCCGCCUCACCGCGUGUACUGGUCCGGCCGGGCCUUUCCCUCUGUGGAACCCCAUGCCCUUCACUGGGUGUGGCGGGGAAACAGGACUUUUACUGUGAAAAAAUUAGAGUGCUCCAGGCAGGCCUAUGCUCGAAUACAUUAGCAUGGAAUAAUAGAAUAGGACGUGUGGUUCUAUUUUGUUGGUUUCUAGGACCGCCGUAAUGAUUAAUAGGGACAGUCGGGGGCAUCAGUAUUCAAUUGUCAGAGGUGAAAUUCUUGGAUUUAUUGAAGACUAACUACUGCGAAAGCAUUUGCCAAGGAUGUUUUCAUUAAUCAGGAACGAAAGUUAGGGGAUCGAAGACGAUCAGAUACCGUCGUAGUCUUAACCAUAAACUAUGCCGACUAGGGAUCGG